rnacentral:rRNA from 1 species
GAUGAACGCUAGCGGGAGGCUUAACACAUGCAAGUCGAGCGGCAAGGCAGCAAUGCCCUAGAGCGGCGCACGGGUGAGUAACGCGUAUGCAACCUACCUUUUACAGGGGGAUAGCCCAGAGAAAUUCGGACUAAUAUCCCAUAACAAUAUCCGGGGCAUCUUUGGAUAUUUAAAGUUCCGGCGGUACGGGAUGGGCAUGCGUAACAUUAGCUAGUUGGUAAGGUAACGGCUUACCAAGGCUUUGAUGUUAGGGGUCCUGAGAGGGUGGUCCCCCACACUGGUACUGAGACACGGCCCAGACUCCUACGGGAGGCAGCAGUGGGGAAUAUUGGACAAUGGGCGAAAGCCUGAUCCAGCAAUGCCGCGUGAGUGAUGAAGGCCUUAGGGUUGUAAAGCUCUUUUACCAGGGAUGAUAAUGACAGUACCUGGAGAAUAAGCUCCGGCUAACUCCGUGCCAGCAGCCGACGGUAAAACGUGCGUG